rnacentral:rRNA from 1 species
GAUGAGCGCUGGCGGCGUGCUUAACACAUGCAAGUCGAACGGACUUGUCUUAUGAAGCUUGCUUCGCGAGAUAAGUUAGUGGCGGACGGGUGAGUAACGCGUGGGUAACCUGCCGUAUGCUGGGGGACAACAGUUGGAAACGACUGCUAAUACCGCAUAAGCGCACAGUACCGCAUGGUAAUGUGUGAAAAACUCCGGUGGCAUACGAUGGACCCGCGUCUGAUUAGUUAGUUGGUGAGGUAACGGCCCACCAAGGCGACGAUCAGUAGCCGGCCUGAGAGGGUGAACGGCCACAUUGGGACUGAGACACGGCCCAA